CACCAAGGUGGAACCUGGAGAAGGUCUGGGGUCACCAAGGUGGGACCUGGUGGACAUCGGGGUCACCGAGGUGGGACCUGGAAGUGGUGGGGUCACCAAGGUGGGACCUGGAGAAGGUUUGGGGUCACCAAGGUGGGACCUGGAGGAUCUGAAGAAGACUGAGGGGCACCAAGGUGGGACCUGCUGGAAACUCGGGGACACCAAGGUGGGACCUGGUGGGACUUGGGGGACACCAAGGUGGGACCUGGUAGACAUGGAGGUCACCAAGGUGGGACCUGCUGGAGGUUUGGGGUCACCAAGGUGGGACCUGGAGAAGAUCUGGGGUCACCAAGGUGGGACCUGGUGGACAUUGGGGUCACCAAGGUGGGACCUGGAGAAGGUUUGGGGUCACCAAGGUGGGACCUGGAGAAGGUUUGGGGUCACCAAGGUGGGACCUGGAAGAUCUGAAGAAGAUUGAGGGACACCAAGGUGGGACCUGGUAGACAUGGAGAUCACCAAGGUGGGACCUGCUGGAGGUUGGGGUCCAUCAGGGUGGGUGUGGAGGACCUGGAGUAGAUGGGAGGGCACCAAGGUGGGACCUGGAAGAUCUGGAGAAGAUUGAGGGACACCAAGGUGGGACCUGGUGGGACUUGGGGGUCACCAAGAUGGGCUGGGCAGGACCAGGUGGAGAUGGGUGCCCUGGUGGGUCCUGGAGGAGAUGGUGGACACCAGGAUGGCUCCUGGAGGAGAUGGUGGAGACCAGGAUGGACCCAUGAGGAGAUGGUGGACACCAGGAUGGACCCAGGAGGAGAUGGUGGACACUCAGGUUCAGGAGGAGAUGGUGGACACCAGGAUGGAUCCAGGAACUGAAGGUGGACACCAGGAUGGGCCCAGGAGGAGAUGGUGGACACCAGGAUGGGUUGAGGAGAAGCAGGAGGAGAUGAUGAACCCCAAGAUGGACACAGGAGGAGAUGGUGGACACCAGGAUGGGCCCAGGAACUGAAGGUGGACACCCAGGUGGGUUCAGGAGGACCAGGAGGAGAUGAUGGACACCAAGAUGGACCCAGGAGGAGAUGAUGGACACCAGGAUGGGCCCAGAAGAACCAGGAGGAGAUGGUGGACACCAGGAUGGAACCAGGAGGAGAUGGUGGACACUCAGGUUCAGGAGGAGAUGGUGGACACCAGGAGGAGAUG